UCGGGAAUUUUGCGCAAUGGACGAAAGUCUGACGCAGCAACGCCGCGUGAGGGAUGAAGGCCUUCGGGUUGUAAACCUCUUUUAUCAGGGAAGAUAAUGACGGUACCUGAUGAAUAAGUCACGGCUAACUACGUGCCAGCAGCCGCGGUAAUACGUAGGUGACAAGCGUUGUCCGGAUUUACUGGGCGUAAAGAGCGCGCAGGCGGUCGAUCAAGUCGAGUGUGAAAGCCCCCGGCUCAACUGGGGAGGGUCAUUCGAUACUGAUCGACUCGAAGGCAGGAGAGGGUAGUGGAAUUCCCGGUGUAGUGGUGAAAUGCGUAGAUAUCGGGAGGAACACCAGUGGCGAAGGCGACUACCUGGCCUGUUCUUGACGCUGAGGCGCGAAAGCUAGGGGAGCAAACG
rnacentral:rRNA from 1 species